ensembl:lncRNA
UUUUUUUUUUUUUUUUAAGGGCUGUGCCUAUGGCAUAGAGGAGUUGCCAGGCUAGGGGUCAAAUCAGAGCUAUAGCUCCUGGCCCAUGCCACAGCCACAGCAAUGCAGGAUCCGAGCCACGUCUGCAACCUACACCAGAGCUCAUGGCAAUGCUGGAUCCCUGACCCACUGAGCAUGGCCAAGGAUCGAACCUGCAUCCUUGUGGAUACCAGUCAGAUUUGUUUCUGCUGAUCCACAACAGGAACUCCACCAUCUCUCUUUUGUGGUGAGAACACUUUAAAAUCUACUCUCUUAGCAACUUUCGAGUACAUAGUCCCCAUGCUAUCUUUAGAUUCUCAGAAUUUAUCCUUCUUAUAACUGAAAGUUUUUACCUUUCAACCAACAGCUCCCCAAUUACCCCAAGCCCAGCUCCUAGCAACCAGCAUUCCAUGCUCUUUAGAUUCCACUCAAGCGAGCGCAUACAGGAUUUGUCUUUGAUUAGCAUAAGGCCUCAAGAUCUAUCCAUAUUGUUGCAAAUGGCAGGAUUUUCUUUCUUUUUCUCUUGGCUGAAUAAUAUUCCAUUAACAGAUCAAUUUCAAAAUACCACAUAGACUCUCCUCUUUCAUCCAAAAGAAGAGGGCAUAAAGGCGAGGCUGGGCAUGGUCCAGAGGUUCCCCCAUGUGUCCUUGGUGUCUUUGCCCCUGGGCUGUGGCUUCAAGAAAAUGAUAUUCUAGUUCCCUUGUAAUAAACCCCUUGAACUCACAUGACCCCGUGUUUGGCAGUCUGACAGGAUGGAUUAAAUUCAUACUCCAGCCCUGAUCAAUCAGAUCCCUGCUUUUCAAAACACAGACUUAAGACAGCUGAUUCCCUGGGCCUCUACAGAAUGACUCAGGCAUUGAGUCAGAAGCAUGUUUUGGAGCAGGCGCUGCCAUAACUAGCCGUGUGACUCGUGUACCCUUGAGGCUUUGUGGGCUUCAAGUGUACUCGCUGGUAGAGCUAAGAGACCAGAGAAGCAUACUUCUAGCUUAGGAUAAUAGUAUCAUAUUUUGAAAUAAAGAAAGAACAGACCUACUGCUAGGAAGUUGGGAGAACAAAGCCACAAAGGAAGCUUCCACUAGAACUUUCUGCUCUGAUGGAAAGGGUCUGAAUCUGUGCUGUCUGAUGCAACAGCCACGAGCCACCAGGGCGACUGAACACUUGACAUGUGGCUUUUGGGACUCAGGGGUUAAAUUCUAACUUUAUUCAGUGUUAAUUAAUUUUCCUGUCAAUGGCCACAUGGGGUUGGUGGCCACUCUAUCGGAUGGCACAGAGCCAAGGGAUGGCCCUCAGUCAGCGUCAUUCCAGACAGCAGUCCUGGUGGAUGGGGUAGUGGAAAAGGGCUACGGUAGAUACCGGGCAACCUCAUUUUUGACCCAUUUUUUUCUUUCUCUUAUCAUCAUCUACAACAUCAUCUUCAUUAUUAGGAUUUGAUAGCAUCCACCAUGUCUUGAGUGGUUACAAUGUUCCAGGCUCUGUGCAAAGAGCUUAAACAUAUACUACUUCAUUUAAUUAUAAUAACAAACCUGGAAGGUAAUUUUUUUUUUGUCUUUUUAGGGCUGUACCCGUGGCAUAUGGAGGUUCCUGGGGCAGGGGUCAAAUCGGAGCCAGCCUACGCCACAGCCACAGCCACAGCAACGUGGGAUCUGAGCCAUGUUGGUCACCUACACCACAGCUCAUGACAAUGCCGGAUCCUUAACACACUGAGCAAGGUCGGAGAUCGAACCCACGUCCUUAUGGGUACUAGGUGGCUUCGUUACCAUCAUGAGCCAUGAUGGGAACUCUGGAAGGUAAUCAUUUUUUAUUUUUGGCCGCAUCUGCGGCAUGUGGAAGUUCUUCGGGCCAGGGAUCAAACCUGUGACAUGGCAGUGACAAUGCCAGACCCUUAACUGCUUAGGCCACCAGGGAACUCCCAGAAGGUAAUUAUUUUUAUCACCUGUACUUGCAGAUGAGCAAACUGAGGCUUUUCAAGACUCAGUAACAUAUACCAUACCACAGGUACUGGGGCAGAGCUGGGAUCUGGUCCCAGGUCUACCAGGAUCCAAAGUCCUGGUGCUUAGCCAUUCUUAGAUGGCUUCUCCAAGGACCAGUGUGGCACUGACCGAGUCAUUGACAAGCUUCAGCUCCUCAUCUGUGGAGGAGGAGACUGGGCUAUACAAACUCUAAGACCCACUUAAGCAGGAAAGGGUCAUGAUUCCUAUACCCCACCCCACCCCACCCCGGUGGCCACUUUUAUAUAAGGAAUGCUACUGUUUACACAUAUGACCAUGUGACCAUGUGACUCCAAAAGUACCUGACUGCUCUGAGCACAGUUCAAUGAUUUCCCUCGAUAGAACCCUAGACUUGGUUACAGGUUUUUGUUUGUUUGUUUGUUUUUGUUUUGUCUUUUUGCCAUUUCUUAGGCCGCUCUCACGGGAUAUGGAGGUUCCCAGGCUAGGGGUCUAAUCGGAGCUGUAGCCACUGGCCUACACCAGAGCCACAGCAACGAGGGAUCUGAGCCACGUCUGCGACCUACACCACAGUUCACGGCAACGCCGGAUCCUUAUCCCAGUGAGCACAGCCAGGGAUCAAACCUGCAACCUCAUGGUUCCUAGUCAGAUUCGUUAGCUACUGAACCACCACGGGAACUCCCGGUUACAUGUCGUUCUUAAGAGCCGCCCCAGGCAAUCCGGAGCACCAGAAUGAUCUAAGAGUAUCAGCCCUGGACUGAACUUGCUGAAGUCAGAAAAGGUCCUUUUAAAAUUAGACAGUGAGAGCUUUAUUUAUUUAUUUAUUUAAUUUUUGUCUUUUUAGGGCUGUACCUGCAACACAUGGAAUUUCCCAGGCCAGGCGUUGAAUGGGCGCUGCAGCUUCGCAGCCACAGCAACACAGGAUCCGAGCCAGCGUCUGCAACCUACACCACAGCUCACGGCAAUGCUGGAUCCUUAACUCAUUGAGCGAGGCCAUGGAUACUAGUUGGGUUCUUUACUGCUGAGCCACGACAGGAACUCCCAGAUGACAAGAGCUUUAUAAUGCAUGUUUCUCUUUUUGCCUCCAAGGCCAGGAAACUCAAAGCUAAAUUUUGUUCUCAAUUGCUAU